rnacentral:lncRNA from 1 species
AAGGGGGAGAAUAGGAGGCCUGGCAAGGAUCCCCAGGCAGGCCUGGUUGAUGGUGGGACAGUGUCAAGUGGUGUAGGGGAUUAAGGGGUGAUUGGUAUCGGGGUUGAGGGGUCGAACUCUACUGAGGUUUCCCACAUGCGUAUUGUUGCUAAGCUAAAAAAGGCAAUGCAGGGGUGGGACGGCUCACUACAUUCAUAUGGUGCCAAGCUAGGGGUGUGCAGAAGCACCCCUUCGGAUCCUUGAUAUGCAUAUUCUUGUUUGGAAUUGCCGGAGAG